GAUAGCUGAAAAUAAUGAUAGGAUGAUGAUCUUUUUUUUUUUUUCCUGUCUUCUGAAUCUUCCAAAACCUGUAUAUUUGAGGACAAAUUCUCCGUGUAUCUGGUUUGUUUGUUCCUCUGCUCCUUGACACAUAAAGGUCACAACUGCUUUGUUCUGUGGAUUCACAGUGUGACCAUUUAACUAACCUGAACAGAUCCGGUCUGGAACACCCACGUAACUGAUUCAGCAUGAGAACACACAGCAUUCUUCCUGUAGCUUCACCCAAAUCAGAUAAAAAUACUUCAUGGCAUAUUUACUUUUUUCCCCUCAUGCUCAUUUAGAAAUACAGAUGUAAAUAAGAACAAACAGGCUGGAACUGUAAGCUCAUGCAGAUAUUUUCUACUUUUCCCCAAGGUCAGACCACGGACUCAUCCCCAACCAUGAGAUCCCCUCUGAAUAAAGUCAGACUGAAAGAUCGCAUUAAUUCAGAGAGUGACAUUUUGGAAUCACAAGCCAGUACAGCCUAUCAAAGCGUCUCCUCUCCUUCAACAAAUUUCUCAGCUGACGAGGUCACACCUACUGUUCCUUCUCCAUCACAAUCAUCCAGAGACGCUGUAGUGCACGAUGACACCUCUCCUUCAUCAGCCAUCUCACAGACCCCGGAGCUACAAGAUGUCACCACCCUCAACACGGACACAGCCUCAGUACCAGUUUCUUCUGCUAGCAGCCCAUCAAUUUCUUUUUUGAAGAGCACCGUUUCAGAUUCAGUAGCCACAACAGCUCCUGCAACAUCCAUCAGUCCAAGUGAAGGACCUCAGACUGUCUCUUCUUCAGCCAGUGGUGCGAUCCAGACGACACAAACAGCUCCACCAUUUACCACCACUUACCCUCAGACAUCUCAGAUCUCCCUGACCAGCAGUUCAAAGGUCACUGGACCUGCUCCUUUGGAAGACCAGGAUGAAUCUUCUGAACUGGAUGUGGGGGAUCAAGAGUCAGGGAAGGUUCCCCACCGCCCUACAUUGCCCCUGGACCCCCUGCUCGCCGCUCUGGUCACCAUUUUCAUUAUUUGCACUGCCAUGGUCUCAGCCGUCCUCUUCCUCAGGUUCCGUCAGAGGAGUGAGCAUCCAGAAUUCCACCGGCUUCAAGACCUUCCUAUGGUGAGUCUUGGAUUUGGGCAGCAAGUUGUGAUACUUAAAAUUGAGACAUUUGAAAGGUUUAUAGAUUUCCAUUAGAGGUCGACGAUUGAUCCAUUUUGCUGAUUAAUUGGCACUGAUAACUGACUACUGAAACAAUAGUGAAAGUUUUUUUCAGGUUGCAUCCAUUGCUGGAGCAACUGAGAAGGUCCACUGUCAUUAUACAGAAUGAGAGCCGAAUCAGACACCUCAUGGAGUUUGUUUGUUAUGCAUCUGUUAUCCAGCAAAGUUGCAUAUUUAAAGCUAGUGACAUCUGACAAAUAAAAAAUUAAAAAAUGAUCGUCA
ensembl:lncRNA